GUGGGACUUUGGUUUGCAGGAAAGCCUGCAUACAGGGCCAGAUCUUACUGGUUUCUGUUCCAGAAAAUGUUUCCAAUACUCCCUUUUUCUGAUAAUAUUCCAGGACCGGUUUCGUUUGGUCUUGGUAAACCUUCAUUCUUUUGCUAAGUGUCUCAGGUUUAUUGUCUACAGGCUGAAUGAGAGGCUUUCCAGUCACAUCGUCCACACCGACCACUUUGGGAGGGUUAAAUCCGAGGUUAUAGACGCGGCCACUGGCUGGAUGAACCCAGCGAGCCUCGAGGCGAUGCCAAUGACCUCAAAUGGUACAUUCAGGUUCAUCACCGAGUGUACCUGAUGGACUCUGUCCAGGGCUUCAGCCUGUGCAAGUGUCCUGGGGAAACCACAUAACAGCCAGUUAUACUGGAUGGCAUUUUUCAGCUUCUGGAGCAACAGCCGAAUAAUGAGGUUGUCCGGGAUGAGCUUCCCCUGGUCCAUGAAGGUCUUGGCCAGCACCCUGAUUUCUGUGUCCCUUCACAUGUUGUCUCGGAUCAGAUGCCCACUGGAGAAGGUCUUCAGCUGGAAGUGUUUGGUAAUGAGCAGUGCCAGGGUACACUUGCCGGAGCCCGCGGCACCCACGAUCACAGGAGUGCAGGAGCUGCCUCGAUGGCCCCAUGGCUGCCAAGCGAGGCCAGGACCGCGGAGAUGGUUGGGCCCCAGGGUGGACACCAGCUGCGCCUGCACCCCCGCCUUCGCUGCCCGGCAUCUGGGGUGGCACCUAGAAGAAGCGCUGCUUCAGAGGGUGCGACCCACGGCUGAUGGAGGGGUAAUUUAACAAGCUCCAGCAGAGGAUUUCAUCAAUCAGGGCUACAUUAUGAAAUUUUGACUCCCUGAAAGCAAUUUGGUGAGCAACUUUUCAAAGUUGAUUUUUCAUUAGAAAGAAGAUGGGAAGUUGGGGAUUAAGUGGGAACAAAACAAACGGGCAAGGAUAUGUAUUACAGCUGUUCAGUCAAACAAACAAUGAGUCAUCUGGUUUUGCCUCAGCUUUUCUCUGUGGAAGCUGCCCUGCCUGUGGACUGUGCUGCCUUUUUGUAUUUGUAAACUGAAAAUAGGUUUUAAAACAUUAUUCUGAUAAAGGGUGGAUUCACUUUAUUCUUGUUCCCUAAGGGCUGACCUAAGGAUUGGAUUUAGGAGUGGAUUUUAUUAAUAAAAACUGUUCAAAUAUUUCAUGAUUUAAGUAUUUAUUUAAUGCUUCAUUUUUUAAUUAAAAUUCAACUGCCCUAUUUCACAUAGCCUUCGCCUAGGAAAAAGUGAAGUUUACCUUUUAUUCUGGUGGCAUUAGUGUGAAAUAUUUGCUUCAUCACAAAACAAACUGAAAGAGCAAUUUGAAAUCAGGUCAAAUAAAAUCAAAAGUCAGUUUGGAUAAUAGUCUUUUCCUCUAUCC
rnacentral:lncRNA from 1 species